CCUACGGGAGGCAGCAGUGAGGAAUAUUGGUCAAUGGACGAGAGUCUGAACCAGCCAAGUAGCGUGAAGGAUGACUGCCCUAUGGGUUGUAAACUUCUUUUAUAUGGGAAUAAAAUGUUCCACGUGUGGGAUUUUGUAUGUACCAUAUGAAUAAGGAUCGGCUAACUCCGUGCCAGCAGCCGCGGUAAUACGGAGGAUCCGAGCGUUAUCCGGAUUUAUUGGGUUUAAAGGGAGCGUAGGGGGAUUGUUAAGUCAGUUGUGAAAGUUUGCGGCUCAACCGUAAAAUUGCAGUUGAAACUGGCAGUCUUGAGUACAGUAGAGGUGGGCGGAAUUCGUGGUGUAGCGGUGAAAUGCUGAGAUAUCACGAAGAACUCCGAUUGCGAAGGCAGUUCACUGGACUGCAACUGACACUGAGGCUCGAAAGUGUGGGUAUCAAACAGGAUUAGAUACCCGAGUAGUC
rnacentral:rRNA from 1 species